CAGCAGCCGCGGUAAUACGUAGGUGGCAAGCGUUGUCCGGAAUUAUUGGGCGUAAAGGGCUCGCAGGCGGUUUCUUAAGUCUGAUGUGAAAGCCCCCGGCUCAACCGGGGAGGGUCAUUGGAAACUGGGAAACUUGAGUGCAGAAGAGGAGAGUGGAAUUCCACGUGUAGCGGUGAAAUGCGUAGAGAUGUGGAGGAACACCAGUGGCGAAGGCGACUCUCUGGUCUGUAACUGACGCUGAGGAGCGAAAGCGUGGGGAGCAAACAGGAUUAGAUACCCGCGUAGUCCCUGUCUCUUAUAC
rnacentral:rRNA from 1 species